rnacentral:rRNA from 1 species
AGAAGAUUAAAUCUAUAUGAACUAUCCAAAAUUAUAACGCUGUUAUCCCUGGAGGAUUUUUUUCAUAUAAUCGAUAAAAACGGUAGUUUGGGCAAGAGCCCUAUGAAUUUUUAUUAUUAAUAUUUUGCAAUUAAAUUAUUAAUAAUUUAAUUGGGGUGAUAAAAAAAGAAUAAGUAUCUUUUUAAAUUAUAAAAUAAGUUCCGUUUUUAGCGAUUAAAUGAAAAAAAUACUCUAGGGAUAACAGCGUAAUAAUUUUGGAUAGUUCAUAUAGAUAAAAUAGUUUGCGACCUCGAUGUUGGAUUAGGAUUCUUUUUUGGUGAAGAAGUUAAGAAAAGAAGUUUGUUCAACUUUUAAAUUCCUACUUGAUCUGGUUCAGACCGGA